rnacentral:rRNA from 1 species
UACGGAGGGUGCGAGCGUUGUCCGGAAUCAUUGGGCGUAAAGGGCGCGUAGGUGGCCCGGUCAGUUCGUGGUGAAAGCGCGGGGCUCAACCCUGCGUCGGCCAUGAAUACUGCCGCGGCUGGAGCACUGUAGAGGCAGGCGGAAUUCCGGGUGUAGCGGUGGAAUGCGUAGAGAUCCGGAAGAACACCGGUGGCGAAGGCGGCCUGCUGGGCAGUUGCUGACACUGAGGCGCGAAAGCCAGGGGAGCAAACGGG